GGUUAAGCGACUAAGCGUACACGGUGGAUGCCCUGGCAGUCAGAGGCGAUGAAGGACGUGCUAAUCUGCGAAAAGCGUCGGUAAGGUGAUAUGAACCGUUAUAACCGGCGAUGUCCGAAUGGGGAAACCCAGUGUGAUUCGUCACACUAUCGUUAACUGAAUACAUAGGUUAACGAGGCGAACCGGGGGAACUGAAACAUCUAAGUACCCCGAGGAAAAGAAAUCAACCGAGAUUCCCCCAGUAGCGGCGAGCGAACGGGGAGCAGCCCAGAGUCUGAAUCAGCUUGUGUGUUAGUGGAACGGUCUGGAAAGUCCGACGGUACAGGGUGAUAGUCCCGUACACCAAAAUGCACAGGCUGUGAACUCGAAGAGUAGGGCGGGACACGUGGUAUCCUGUCUGAAUAUGGGGGGACCAUCCUCCAAGGCUAAAUACUCCUGACUGACCGAUAGUGAACCAGUACCGUGAGGGAAAGGCGAAAAGAACCCCGGCGAGGGGAGUGAAAAAGAACCUGAAACCGUGUACGUACAAGCAGUGGGAGCACCUUCGGGUGUGACUGCGUACCUUUUGUAUAAUGGGUCAGCGACUUAUAUUCUGUAGCAAGGUUAACCGUAUAGGGGAGCCGCAGGGAAACCGAGUCUUAACUGGGCGUUAAGUUGCAGGGUAUAGACCCGAAACCCGGUGAUCUAGCCAUGGGCAGGUUGAAGGUUGGGUAACACUAACUGGAGGACCGAACCGACUAAUGUUGAAAAAUUAGCGGAUGACUUGUGGCUGGGGGUGAAAGGCCAAUCAAACCGGGAGAUAGCUGGUUCUCCCCGAAAGCUAUUUAGGUAGCGCCUCGUGAACUCAUCUUCGGGGGUAGAGCACUGUUUCGGCUAGGGGGUCAUCCCGACUUACCAACCCGAUGCAAACUACGAAUACCGAAGAAUGUUAUCACGGGAGACACACGGCGGGUGCUAACGUCCGUCGUGAAGAGGGAAACAACCCAGACCGCCAGCUAAGGUCCCAAAGUCAUGGUUAAGUGGGAAACGAUGUGGGAAGGCACAGACAGCCAGGAUGUUGGCUUAGAAGCAGCCAUCAUUUAAAGAAAGCGUAAUAGCUCACUGGUCGAGUCGGCCUGCGCGGAAGAUGUAACGGGGCUAAACCAUGCACCGAAGCUGCGGCAGCGACACUAUGUGUUGUUGGGUAGGGGAGCGUUCUGUAAGCCUGCGAAGGUGUGCUGUGAGGCAUGCUGGAGGUAUCAGAAGUGCGAAUGCUGACAUAAGUAACGAUAAAGCGGGUGAAAAGCCCGCUCGCCGGAAGACCAAGGGUUCCUGUCCAACGUUAAUCGGGGCAGGGUGAGUCGACCCCUAAGGCGAGGCCGAAAGGCGUAGUCGAUGGGAAACAGGUUAAUAUUCCUGUACUUGGUGUUACUGCGAAGGGGGGACGGAGAAGGCUAUGUUAGCCGGGCGACGGUUGUCCCGGUUUAAGCAUGUAGGCUGGUUGUCCAGGCAAAUCCGGAUAAUCAAGGCUGAGGUGUGAUGACGAGGCACUACGGUGCUGAAGUAACAAAUGCCCUGCUUCCAGGAAAAGCCUCUAAGCAUCAGGUAACAUCAAAUCGUACCCCAAACCGACACAGGUGGUCAGGUAGAGAAUACCAAGGCGCUUGAGAGAACUCGGGUGAAGGAACUAGGCAAAAUGGUGCCGUAACUUCGGGAGAAGGCACGCUGGUGUGUAGGUGAAGUCCCUGCGGAUGGAGCUGAGACCAGUCGAAGAUACCAGCUGGCUGCAACUGUUUAUUAAAAACACAGCACUGUGCAAACACGAAAGUGGACGUAUACGGUGUGACGCCUGCCCGGUGCCGGAAGGUUAAUUGAUGGGGUUAUCCGUAAGGAGAAGCUCUUGAUCGAAGCCCCGGUAAACGGCGGCCGUAACUAUAACGGUCCUAAGGUAGCGAAAUUCCUUGUCGGGUAAGUUCCGACCUGCACGAAUGGCGUAAUGAUGGCCAGGCUGUCUCCACCCGAGACUCAGUGAAAUUGAACUCGCUGUGAAGAUGCAGUGUACCCGCGGCAAGACGGAAAGACCCCGUGAACCUUUACUAUAGCUUGACACUGAACAUUGAGCCUUGAUGUGUAGGAUAGGUGGGAGGCUUUGAAGCGUGGACGCCAGUCUGCGUGGAGCCAACCUUGAAAUACCACCCUUUAAUGUUUGAUGUUCUAACGUUGGCCCCUUACCGGGGUUGCGGACAGUGUCUGGUGGGUAGUUUGACUGGGGCGGUCUCCUCCCAAAGCGUAACGGAGGAGCACGAAGGUUAGCUAAUCCUGGUCGGACAUCAGGAGGUUAGUGCAAUGGCAUAAGCUAGCUUGACUGCGAGCGUGACGGCGCGAGCAGGUGCGAAAGCAGGUCAUAGUGAUCCGGUGGUUCUGAAUGGAAGGGCCAUCGCUCAACGGAUAAAAGGUACUCCGGGGAUAACAGGCUGAUACCGCCCAAGAGUUCAUAUCGACGGCGGUGUUUGGCACCUCGAUGUCGGCUCAUCACAUCCUGGGGCUGAAGUAGGUCCCAAGGGUAUGGCUGUUCGCCAUUUAAAGUGGUACGCGAGCUGGGUUUAGAACGUCGUGAGACAGUUCGGUCCCUAUCUGCCGUGGGCGCUGGAGAAUUGAGGGGGGCUGCUCCUAGUACGAGAGGACCGGAGUGGACGCAUCACUGGUGUUCGGGUUGUCAUGCCAAUGGCACUGCCCGGUAGCUAAAUGCGGAAGAGAUAAGUGCUGAAAGCAUCUAAGCACGAAACUUGCCCCGAGAUGAGUUCUCCCUGAGACUUUAAGUCUCCUGAAGGAACGUUAAAGACGAUGACGUUGAUAGGCCGGGUGUGUAAGCGCAGCGAUGCGUUGAGCUAACCGGUACUAAUGAACCGUGAGGCUUAACCUU
rnacentral:rRNA from 1 species